rnacentral:rRNA from 1 species
UUAAUACCUGGGGUCCAUGACGGUACCGUAAGAAUAAAGCACCGGCUAACUACGUGCCAGCAGCCGCGGUAAUACGUAGGGUGCAAGCGUUAAUCGGAAUUACUGGCGUAAAGCGUGCGCAGGCGGUUAUAUAAGACAGAUGUGAAAUACCCCGGGCUCAACCUGGGAACUGCAUUUGUGACUGUAUAGCUAGAGUACGGCAGAGGGGAGUGGAAUUCCGCGUGUAGCAGUGAAAUGCGUAGAUAUGCGGAGGAACACCGAUGGCGAAGGCAAUCCCCUGGGCCUGUACUGACGCUCAUGCACGAAAGCGUGGGGAGCAAACAGGAUUAGAUACCCUGGUAG